rnacentral:rRNA from 1 species
UACGGAGGAUGCGAGCGUUAUCCGGAUUUAUUGGGUUUAAAGGGUGCGUAGGCGGACGCUUAAGUCAGCGUUAAAAUUGCGGGGCUCAACCUCGUCGAGCCGUUGAAACUGGGUGCCUUGAGUGGGCGAGAAGUACGCGGAAUGCGUGGUGUAGCGGUGAAAUGCAUAGAUAUCACGCAGAACUCCGAUUGCGAAGGCAGCGUACCGGCGCCCAACUGACGCUGAAGCACGAAGGCGUGGGUAUCGAACAGG